CUAUAUGUACUUGAUGUUGAUUCCAUACGUGGAUAACUGUGGUAAUUCUAGAGCUAAUACAUGCACCAAAGCUCCGAUUGAAAUUGAAGAGCGCAUCUAUUAGACUUAAAACCAAUCGGGUUGCAAUAUUGCGAUAGCAGUUUUUUGUUGUGGCUGUUGUUGUGUAUUGCUUCGACUCGUAUUGUGGUGACUCUGAAUAGCUUUGCUGAUCGCAUGGUCAUUUGCACCGGCGACGUAUCUAUCAAGUGUCUGCCUUAUCAACUUUCGAUGGUAGUUUAUGUGCCUACCAUGGUUGUAACGGGUAACGGAGAAUAAGGGUUCGACUCCGGAGAGGGAGCCUGAGAAACGGCUACCACUUCCAAGGAAGGCAGCAGGCGCGCAAAUUACCCACUCUCAGCUCGAGGAGGUAGUGACGAAAAAUAACGAGACCGUACUCUUUGAGGGCGGUUAUCGGAAUGGGUACAAUUUAAACCCGUUAACGAGUAUCAAUGAGAGGGCAAGUCUGGUGCCAGCAGCCGCGGUAAUUCCAGCUCUCAAAGUGUAUAUCGUCAUUGCUGCGAUUAAAAAGCUCGUAGUUGGAUUUAGGCCAUACGAUUUGGUGCAUCUUUAUUGAUGUGAACUGAAUUCGUUGGUUGCAAGUGCUGCCGUGUUCCUCCUCUUGAUGGAGGAGCGGUGAGCAUAUGUUGGUUUUCGCUGCGUUGCUUUAAUCGGCUGCGUAGUGUGACUGACGCGUUUACCUUGAAAAAAUUAGAGUGCUCAACGCGGGCUAUUGCUUGAAUACUCGUGCAUGGAAUAAUGGAAUAGGAUGUUGGUUCUAUUUUGUUGGUUUUCUGAACCAAGAUAAUGGUUAAGAGGGACAGACGGGGGCAUUCGUAUCGCUGCGUUAGAGGUGAAAUUCUUGGACCGCCAGCGAGACGCCCUACUGCGAAAGCAUUUGCCAAGAAUGUCUUCAUUAAUCAAGAACGAAAGUCAGAGGUUCGAAGGCGAUCAGAUACCGCCCUAGUUCUGACCGUAAACGAUACCAACUAGCGUUCCGUCAGUGGUAAUUACGCCUUGACGGGCAGCUUACCGGAAACGAAAGUGUUUCGGUUCCGGGGGAAGUAUGGUCGCAAAGCUGAAACUUAAAGAAAUUGACGGAAGGGCACCACCAGGAGUGGAGCCUGCGGCUUAAUUUGACUCAACACGGGAAAACUCACCUGGCCUGGACACUGUGAGGAUUGACAGAUUGAGAGCUCUUUCUUGAUUCGGUGGUUGGUGGUGCAUGGCCGUUCUUAGUUGGUGGAGUGAUUUGUCUGGUUAAUUCCGAUAACGAGCGAGACUCUAGCCUACUAAAUAGUCGGCAGGCAGAAAGUAACUGUGCUUGUGGCGACUUCUUAGAGGGACAGGCGGUGUUCAGCCGCACGAAGCUGAGCAAUAACAGGUCUGUGAUGCCCUUAGAUGUUCAGGGCUGCACGCGCGCUACACUGGAGGAAUCAGCGUGCUAAUGUCCAUUGUCGAAAGGCAUUGGUAACCAGUUGAAAAUCCUUCGUGCUCGGAAUCGGGAAUUGCAAUUAUUUACCGUGAACGAGGAAUUCCUAGUAAGUGUGAGUCAUCAGCUCACGCUGAUUACGUCCCUGCCCUUUGUACACACCGCCCGUCGCUGCCCGGGACUGAGCCGUUUCGAGAAAAGCGGGGAUCAUUAUUGCUGAGUGAUCGUWUCGAUGCAUCUUG
rnacentral:rRNA from 1 species